rnacentral:lncRNA from 1 species
UGCUCAGGGACCAUUUGUUGACUUUGCUACCAAUUGAGGAGCCAAAGAUUUGCUUUAAUCUAAUAAAACAGGGUGGAACCAAAGCUCAAUGGUUGCCAAGAAAAAGCACAUUAUAUGGUUUUCUUCAAAUUGGCAAAACCUACGCCAAUCAAUUAGUUUUUUUUUUCAUCAUUCAUUUUUUCCCUUAGUGACCAAAGUUAUUGAGGAGGGAUAUGUCGAAGGCUAUUCCUGAACUAAUUAAGUUACAUUCUAUGAUGUUUCGAAAGAAGACAAAGAACCGAAGUUAAAUCUGAUGAACGCAACUCGCAUGUCCAUAUGGGCUCUUCUUUAUGAGACAGGUCGGAUGGACCUCCUUCCGGUCGGACAGCAUGCAGCAUAAUGGCAACCGCUCUUAGGUUAGUCAUAGUGAGAGUAACUUGGAUAGUAACAUAAAAUGCCAACUAAGCAUUUUGGUGACAUGGCAUUGUAUUAAAUGAAGAAAA